AACGGGGGGAAUAAGCGUUAGCCGUCGUUACUGGGCGUAAAGGGUUCGUAGGUGGUUUUAUUUGAUUUAUUUUAUAAAAAAAGAUAGUUAAUUUACAUCUGUAUAGUAAGUGACGAUAAAACUUUGAGUAUGAAAAAGGUCGAUCGUAUUCCCAAUGUAAAAGUGAAAUCUGCUGAAAUUGGAGGGGACGUUCAAAAGGCGAAGGCAGUUGACUGAUUCAUUACUGACAUUGAGGAACGAAAGCAUGGGGAUCAAAUCGG
rnacentral:rRNA from 1 species